CCGCCGUCGAUUCAUUCCUAGUGUAUCGCUCUAGGGUUUGAAAAUGUAGGCUUUUACUGUAUUUGGCUUUGGGGAUAUCAGCUCUUGAUUUGGAUUUGCCUAGCAAGAAAUAAGAUUACUGCUGGAUUAACUGAUUUUUUUUCUUCGAUUCUUGCUCUCAAGUUUUUUCUUUUGGUUGUUGUUAUGAAAGUCAACUAUAGGAAUUGGAACAUGUGACGCGUAAAACGUAGGCUUGACUGAGUUUUGAUUCGUAUGCCUCAAUUUUGAGCAUUCUAAUUCAGCCCCGCUUACGAGUAUUGCCUGAGUUGUUCUGUUGGAUUCGAUUAAGUUGUAGUUUUUUUCAUUCGUUAAUCAUAAUCUACUCUAUCCUAGGGGACUUGGGAGGGGAUGGGGUGCUUAUGGGAAUCGAACCUUGCCCAUAUGCAUGAGAGUAUAAGAGAGGCACCAACUGCACUCGACUCCACUUGCAAUUAAGUUGUAGACUUGUAGUUAAUUACCCAAUCAUUUCGUUACCUUUGAUUCCAUCUGAUUAUAUGGAAAAUGCAGUGUAAAAUAUGAUAUCUUGUUUCCUUAAGAAGCUGCACCUGGGUUUUUAUUUUCCUCAUGCGUUUGAGAUUCUAAACAGUGAAGAACACGGGUUCUUAUUCUCCUUCUAGUUAUUUCAUUUUCUAUCUGCUGAGAAAACAGAAGAAAAAAAGGAAAGAAAGAGAAGAGAGAAGAUGGGGACGAGACCUUGACCAAUGGGUUGGUGCUUGGUUGUGUUGAGAGGUUGAGAAGAAGGACAGGAAGAAACACAAGUGAGAGAAAGAAGUGGGUGUGGAAAAUGAGUUAGGUGAAACUGGUUAGGAAGAGAAGAGGGAGAGGAAAGACAUAGCUGAGAAUCCAAUUGGGACUGGAUUUAGUCUGCUCCAUCUUUUUCCUCUCAGCAGCUCCAUUCAAGUCUCCAACUGCAGGAAGUUCCACUUCAGAUAGGUUGUUUUACUUCAUGUUGAACCCCCCCCGGUUCACCACAACAGGAAGUAUUAGAGUAAGGACAAGUGAAGAGACAAUUUUCUGAGUUAAAGCAAAAGGGUUAACCACCUGAAAAGGAAAACUGUAUAUUGUGCUAGCCAGUAUGACUUGGGAGUGAAAUAGGCAUGUUUUGAAAAUUUGGUUUUAUGUAUUAUGAAUUGGCUAAUUUGUGAACUCCAUUAGUUAGCCCUUUAUCUUUAUCCUUUUAUUUGUAAAAUUUUAUAGGCAAGCUGAGCUGUUGGAAAGGAAAAGAUUGAAAAAGCUUCAGCGGAAGGAACUGAAAAUGAAAGGGCAAGCAAAUGGAGAGAAGGUAGAUCUAAAGGACAUCUCUGCUGAUUUAUUGGACAGUCCACCAUCUGCAGAAAUAUCCAGUUAGAACGUCCUAGAAACAACCACAGAACAUGUCCCUUCACCUUUUGAGCCUGUCCAAACUUGUAGGUUGUAGCGGUGAAGAACGAUACUGAAGCUCAAAGUGGAUUCAGCCUCGAACACUCAGAUUUAGGCGCCUUUCCAAAUGCUGAACGCCAAAUGGUACAUGCAGUGUUCUAAAAGGCGGCCGCCUAGGCCGAUUAGUCCCCUCCUAGGCUCUAGGCGGUGGUCUGAUGCCUAGAUUAGACAGCCGACUAGUCGGGUGCCUAGUCCCCGCCUAUGUGCUAGGCGGCCGACUAUUCGGCACCUAGGUGCUAGGCGGCCCUUUUCCACCCGUCUAGCGCCUAGCGAUUUUUAGAACAUUGGGUACAUGGAAAUCACCAAGUUUUGGACGUAACGGCUUUUAUUCAACUCAGAAUCUCUAGUUCAGACCAGGAAACUAAAAAAGGAAAACGAGGGAAAGAUCUUGAAAUCCAUAUUGUUGACAGAGGAUGUAGCCAAAAUGGAUCAACUUACCAGUGAGGUGAUGAUUGGUUUUAUAUCAGUCCCACUUGGUUACUGUACUUCCCACCGGCAGGAUGAUGAUCUGAUUGAAGCGCAAGAGCAUUGCAGUACAGAGCAUGCAAUUUUGAAGCACACAGAAAUUGAUUCUGUCCAUGGUGGUUCCCAAUCCACGGUUAAGCUUCGGAGGCCAGUGAGCUGGCACGAAGUCAGAGGUCCAUUGCCGGUCCAAAAUGGCAAAGAGGACGUAAUAACAGGAGGAAAGGACCAUGGCCGAAUGGUGCCAAGUGAAACUUGUCUAUGAUCUUGUGCUUCGGGUGAUAAUGAGGCUGAUUCUCACCCCGCAGUGACCAAAAGUGCUCCUGCAGAAGGAUUGCUGUUCUCCAGCAAUGCUGCAAAAGCUUUUCUUGCACAGAGUAUGGUUAUAAUUCUAUCAUUUAGUCCCUCUCUGCUAUGCUUAUAACCUGAGAAUUGCUUGUGGUCCAUUAGAGGAUUUCCAAUUCACAAUGGUUAAAAUAACAUGUCAGAGCCAAACUUUGGCUCUAGAGUAUCCAAAAUGCUAAAGUAUGGCUACCUUCUGUUGCUAGAAAUGCUUUUCCUUCUCUGCUAUACUUGUAACUUGACAAUUCUUUAUCAGGUUCAUGAUUUGUGUGUUGCUUCUAAAA